GGGCAGGUGGCGGAAUUGGUAGACGCGCUGGGCUUAGGACCCAGUGCUUUAUAAGGCGUGAGGGUUCGAAUCCCUCCCUGCCCA
rnacentral:tRNA from 1 species